rnacentral:lncRNA from 1 species
GUGAGGGGUAAAUGAACUGGAUGGGAGCGGAGGAGCUGCCAAGCACAAGGGUCCUGCUUUUACAAUGGAAGGUGCUCCAGAAGCCACGUGAUCUAGCUAGACGCAAAGGGGUCCUUGCAUUACAAAUGGAAACACUCAGACAUCCUGAGCAAUAUUUUGAAAGAGGGAUCAUGGGGAUGAGGCAGAAUUUUUGAUGAGAAAAGGGGUGGGAGGAGGAAGAACUUCAGGGUUGCUGCAAAUGUGCAGUGUCUGCACUCAACGGCAAAUGAAACUGACCGUAGACUAUGAAGACCAAGCAGUGGGUGCUCCUGUGAAUAUCUGGAAAUCUUCUCACGGUGGGAUCGCUGGUCACUGGAACUUACUAUAAUGAAAAUUGUUUCCUGAAGUGGUACAACUUACGCAGGGGAGGUGGCUUGUCACCUGGUGAUUCCCUUUUCAGCACGUUGACACACAAAGCAAAAGAUAGCUUUUAAAGACGCCAUCACCCCCAAGUUAAUGAAGAUUAUUAUGUCUGAUUGUAUGGACAAGAAUUAUCACCAUUAUCAUGUCUGAACAUGUGGACAAUUGUUUUCGUCUUGGUGCAAGAUCUGCUUGAAGAGCGCGUUCUCCUUGGGCGGGAGGCUCACGGCCCGCAUCAUUCCGGCUCCUCCGCUGGUCCCGCCACCACCUGGUUCGGACAGUCUGUUUGUCCGACCGCCGCCACUGCCGUCCCGGGCUCCUUCAGCCUUGAAUACCCCGAUCUACCGCCACCACCACGCCUCAUGUGUCACCAUGUCGCCUUUCCCGGACACCCCCUUCUCCUUCUUGUCUUUUUUCCUUUCUCAACGCUGCCGCCCCCCACGAGUCUCUGUCGGCGGUUCACGUGGCAACUGAACAGUCAUAGCUUCUAUUUCUUAUCCUGCUGUUAUCUGUUGGUGGGUUUGGGCAAGGUGCUGAACAUCUAACCUCUAUUCUUUAUCACUAUUUGGGAACAGUUGGGGAACUCCACUGCAACGGAUAAUCCCUGGGAACUCUGUGGAUCUGUAAAUACAGGUUAGAGGCAAGAGAAACCAGUAGGAGGUGCUGAGCAGAACCAGGCUGAGGGUGCUGGCUCUGAGCUCUGCUCUGAAAGACCUGUCACUUGGGCAGGUCGCUGAGAGCUCUGUACACUCAUAUUUUCCUGUCUGUCCUGGCUUCAAAGUCUCAGUAAGCUACUUGCUUCCAAGACACGUAAGACUCCCUAAAAAGAGGACCCACAAAAGUACCUUCGUCAACUGGCACUUUUCAAACUUUGUAUGUUCUCACUGCCUUCAGUGUGCAACUGAGUUGACCGACGUCAGUUGUGUUACUGCACAUUCAACUCUUAGGCAGGAGAAGACUGAAGAAGGUCCGCCAGGUAAAAACUAAAGGAAAGCAGAAGUUUUAUAAACAUUGCUUUCUGGAUACCUGGAUGUGUGACAUAGACUGAAAUAUCAUGGGAGGAAAAAGCAAUGAGUGGCCCAAAGCUGUAUCUACAGAGAGGAACUUAGAAUUUACUCUGAUCAUUUUAUUUUAGAUGGAUAAACUAUAUUUUCAAAGUUCAAAAUGGAAUUUUUAAGAAAAUUGACGAAGUAGCCCAAUGCAAAUUCCAUUUUUUCUGGAUGUCUCUUCAGUGCUAAAUUGUGCCCUAAAGUCUUGGUUUACCCAUCUUGUAAAAAAAAAAAAAUCUGAGUCCUCUUUCCAGUGAUUUCUCUUAGGAAUAAGAGGGGAGAAGGAUCUAUUAUGAGUAAUUGGAGAACUGAAAGCAAAAUGAUUUUAAAAUAUGAAAGGAGCUACUGAUAACAUUUUGGAUCAUUCUUAUCAACUAUUCAUAGGACAUAAAUUAUAAAUAUAUAUCAUGGAAAGUAGUGUAUAUCAGAACAUAAAUGCACAGCAUAUAUUGUCAAUAUGCUUUUUUUU